GCAGAGCGGAGGCGGGAAGCAGAGGUUGCGGCGCCUUCCCGCGUGUGGCGCGUAAGGACUGUGAGCGCGAGAACUUUCCUCUCCAUUUCAGCUGUGAAGCAAGGCCGGUGUGUGGGCGGCAGGGUCAAAAUAUGGCUGCCAUCGCACAGAGACAUUAGUGGCUGUGGAGUCUGCCCUGAGAUUGGUACCCACACUCUUCAGCCACUGCAGGACAGACUGACAUCUUAAUUUUGUGGGGAGACCUUAUCUUGGUGGGGCUGUGUUGCAGAGGCUGCAAUAUUUGUGAAGCUCAUAUGGAGCACAGACCAUACAGAUGCUCAGAAACUGACAGUUUGUAUUCUGAAAAAGAUGUUUUUAAAACCUUUUUUCAUAUCCACUACCCGAAACAAGGUUUCUUCAUGCAGGCAGAAGUGUAUAUAAACUUAAAAUCAGAUAUGGCAACUUCCUCAGUUUUUCCAUAUCAUAUGAGAGCCAGGGGCGGGAACUGUGGCGAGAGGAGUCCGCAGAUUGGAUUGAACAAUGCUGCUGGAGACAGCCAGAGUGCCCAGGAGCCAGGGAUGUCUGUUUGUACGUCAGCAGCUUUAGCAGCAGGUUCUGGAAAGUGAAACCUCUUGCCUGCUUGAGCCGUGUGAGCCCCAGAGAUGCACCAGUUCUCUUUGAUUAGCCAAGCCUGAUUCGUUCCCUCCUUGUGCAGCACUUCAGCUGCUUUUUCCUUGCCCCACCCCGCUGAAAGCUGUCAAAUGUGGAGGGCGGGCAGGGGCAUCUCCAGGGCAGACGAGGUCUUUAGUGCCUCAUGUAUCUAAAAACUUAGAACACUUUUUCAGUACAAGACAAAACCUUGGUCACUGGGCCUCAUUCACUUCCUGGUUUGAACUUUGCAGCUGUGCCGGCCGCUAACAUCUGUAACUUUGCCAAUAGGCUGAGCAGACAGCAAAUGUGAAAAAUCAGGAUGGGGUGGGGGGGCAAUAGGAACCAGUAUAAGAAAAAGACCCCAAAAUCGGGAUUCUCCCUAUAAAAUCGGGACAUCUGGUCACCAAGCAGCGGCAAGCCCAGCACUGGAGCAUGUGAGUGCUCUAGUGCAAUGCCUACUAUUGUGAGCCAGGCGCCAGCCUCGGGGCCGCCUUAGCAUCAGAAACAUUCCAAGCUGUCACUCAGGAACAUGGCACCAUUUGGACAAGUCCAGGGUGUGAUUUUUCAGCGGUGCUGAGCACCUGCAGCUCUCAAUGAUCCAGGCCCUAGCUGUGGUGCCGUGGCUGGAGUCUGAAUGCUGCCUCUUGCCGUGCUGGCGCUCAGCAUUCUACCAAAUACAGCAGCACUGCAGCAUCCCCGGUUAGAGAUUAAUUACAGUGAUUGACUCCAGGAGCUCAGUUUGUAACUUAAAGAGAAGGCUAAGGGGUGACUUGAUUACAGGCUAAGUAUCUAUAAUGGGAACAAAUAUUUGCU